rnacentral:tRNA from 3 species
GCCCAUAUAGCUCAGUCGGUAGAGCGCUUCCUUGGUAAGGACGAGGUCACCGGUUCAAAUCCGGUUAUGGGCU